AUAUAUAGUGAAUUCUGGGAUU
rnacentral:miRNA from 1 species